CCACUAAACAUUGGACGUCGUAUGGACGUUGAGAUGAUGUCUAUAUUGCGUCCGUCGGUCCAUGACCAAUUCUGAACUUUAGAACGACGUGCAAACUAGGUCCACUAUUUGGACGUCCAAUAAUGACCCCAUUUGUACGUCAAUAUGUAGUUGAACAUUUGGACGUCGGUGUAGGUCACUUUUUUGGACGUCUAAAACAGGUGCAGGGAAUUAACAUGAUUUAAGUAAUUUAUUAUUAUUAGUAGUAGUAGUAGCCUAGUAGCAGUAGGCUAGUAGUAAUACAAAAUAAAUGUAAAAUACCAACAUUGUUCUUACCAACAUGAUGAAUGUGAUCAUUAUUAUUAUUAGUAGUAGUAAUAGGCCUCGUACACUCUAAAAAAUGCUGGGUUAUUUCUGCACCCAAUUACUGGGUUGUGGCAGUUUGACCAUUUAUUGGGUUAUGUUAGCCCAUGCUGGGUUAUUUUCCAUAAUCCAGCCACAGGGUUGGUGGUUUGGAACUCAAUCUCCAACAUGGUAUUCUACCCACUGUCUGGGUCACUGGUAGCCUAAGUAAUGGGUUAAUUUACAGAGUAUUUUAAGGUCAACAUCUCAAGAGUAGACUACAAUAAAAAUGUCAGGCACAUUAAGUCACUUUUUUACUGAAAAUUGCGAACUGCAACAAAUUCUUUGAGAGUUAAAUACCAUAAGGAAUGAGCAUGUGUAGGCUAUGCAACUCCUGUGUCUACUAGUUGCAAAGAAAUCGUUUUGGCUUUGUCUAGCUUUCAUUUGGUGAUUGCUGAUAAAAAAAGACACUUUCAACAAGUUGUUAAACGUUUGCCUCUCAGUCUUGCUCUGCUUUUAACCCUCUGACAGCAAUUUGAAUUGCACUUGAACCGCACAGCAUUGUGGGGCGAUUUCUAACGUUCAUCCCCUGCCUCCCACCCAUAGACAGUAAAAGAAAGUUCCGACCCCUGACAAAGUCAAAUCCAGUAACUUCAACUAUUACUUUUCUGCUUGUGUGAGCUGUCUAAACUCUGCCGUCAUCAUAUCCAAGGCGUUAUGAUGUGAGGACUGCUGCCCUGAGAACGCUGAGUGCAUAUGUGUAAAAAAAAAAGAUCCCAGAAUUAGUUUUUAUUUUCAUUAGGUGAAUCUGGUCAUGUUUGCAAUAAUCUGGUCAUGUUUGCAGUAAAGAUGGGGGAAACAACAGUCGGGAUUGGAUUGUGAUUUAUUGUUAAUCUGACUGUAAGGUGUCCAGAAGGUAGGAACCUGUUCCAGUUCAUUUUACUGAAGCUUCAUUUGGCUCGACAGCAGAUUUGAAGUGGAAAUGUAUGUCUUGGUAUGCAUUUCCAGUUACCAUCUGCUGGUGAGAAAGUCAAAUAAAGCUAUAGGAAAAUUAACUGGAACAGCAUGUCACCUGAAAUGGGACUGUCGUGUAUGCAUGGUGUAUGUGCAGCUUAUUGCUAUGCAUGUUACACUGUUUUUGCUGUUACCUGCUGUGUAUUUUAACAUUUGGGUUAAUGGACUCCUUGAGUGGCUGUGUAUUAGACUGACUAGUGACACCUGGAGAGGACUGAUGGGGAUGUAAUAGACUGAUUUUGUGCACCUGUGAAGGGGGAGGGGUUCAUUCACAUUGGUUGAUUAACCACUUGCUUUCACCUGGCCUGGUGCUUUAUAUGAGCUUGCGAGGUGACUGGCAGGAGGGGGCCUUGAGAGGGAGAUGCGACAGCAACUGGCACAACGGUAGAGAGCCCACCAUCAACGCAAGCUAAGUACCCUGUUAAGGGAAGUUUUCUGUAGCCCUACUUGCUAUGCGUUAGUAAGUUGGUAGACAAAGUGGCUGGUGGCUCAUAAAUGUUUGUUGUCCGUUGCAGCUCAGGUUUACAUCAGCCGAGCAACAACGCGAUCUGGGGGAAUGCUGGAAGUGCCAAUGAACACCGCCGGAUGUAACGUUGACUGUGUCUGCUGAACAACCGAAGUACAUUCAGGGAAGAAUCCGCCCUGAUUUGGACUUGUGGAUGACCUGGCGCCGAAAGUGCAGUACCGGCUACAUCGGAGCGCGCCCUGUGGACUAUUCUUUUAAAACUCUGGUCGACUUCUUGCAGCGGACUUUCCUUUAUGUGUUGUGUCUGUUGUCUACGUGACUCGUCAGCCCAGCUGUAAACGCAGAGUGGACAGAAGACGUUGGGUGAGCGGAACUGAGUUUAAGGUGUAGCGUAAUCUGAUUCUCAUUGUGUGUGGGUUUAAUUAUGAAUUGCUGUGCCCUCUCAGUAUUUUGAAUGUAUAUUCACCUAGAUAACUUAUUUACCUGCAUUAUUAAUCUGUUUCUGCUUGCCAGUUGGGGGUGCUUGCGACGGGACUGCAAUGUUUAUAGCUGGGCUGCUGUGAGUCCUCUAUGUAAAUUUUAGUAACUGUGCAAUAAAAGCAUAAACUGUU